rnacentral:rRNA from 1 species
UACGAACUGUGCGAACGUUAUUCGGAAUCACUGGGCUUAAAGGGUGCGUAGGCGGCCUGUUAAGCAGGGUGUGAAAUGCCAGGGCUCAACCUUGGCAUGGCGCCCUGAACUGGCGGGCUUGAGUGAGCUAGGGGUGUGUGGAACUUCCGGUGGAGCGGUGAAAUGUGUUGAGAUCGGAAGGAACACCGGUGGCGAAAGCGACACACUGGGGCUUAACUGACGCUGAGGCACGAAAGCCAGGGGAGCGAACGGG